GAGACCGAUCGAUGACGUUCUUUUGUGUAGACGCUCUUCUCCUUUCCUCCGCUUUCUUUCGCUUUCUUUCCUCCGUCUUCUGCCGCUCUUUUUCCAGCAUACGACUCCGGUUUAUCCGCUUCUUCCCGAAAUCCGAGCAAGAUGAAACGAGAAGAGAAAAGGGAACACCACGGAUAUCGAGAGCUCGGUAAUCGGCACCCCCCCCCCCUCCCCAGACCUUGUUACAAAACGCACUCCCGACAUUCGACGAUCCAUUCGUUUUUUCUUUAGCGUGCAAAACGUUUUAUCUACAUACGUGUCCCAUAACUUUCGAUCAAGUCACCGUCUUCUCCUUCCCCUAUUACCAAAUAAACGUAAGUACGAUACGAUAAAUAAAAAAAAAAACAUAAAUUUUUCAGUCGAUAAUGCAUAGAUAUUUGAAAAAUGCUCUCGUACCUAUCCAGCGAUGAUAGAUGAUCCGUUGUAUAAUAACAUGCAAAAACUUUCUGUCGAUCGAUAUCGUCAACUCGCAAAUAUUUUUAUCUACGUUUCCAACGCUGUAAAGUCCGAUAAUGCGAUAAAACUUUAAUUGCGCGGACAGUAAUUUCGAAUCUACGUAACUACGUUAAAUUAGAGGAAAUUUCUUACAACGAAGUAAACGCGAUACCUUGGCUGUAUAAUUAAGUUAACCAAAUGUUGAAAAGAUAUAAAAGCGAAUUUUCAUUCUACCUUCGUUGUACAGAAAUUAUUCUUUACGCGUUAACGAGAAUUAACUGAGACAAGGGACGAGUAAUUAAGAGUACGUGAUCGUGUAGUCAUACCUACGUAAUAUAGCAGCUAUGAUAUUAAUCUACCAUCAUAAAAGAGUUAUUAGUCACUUGCGAACACAGGCAGAAGCAAGUUUAAUCCUUGCCUAUCUAUUACACCGUUAUAGAAUGUAACAAUAAAGGUGAUCUCAUAUGGAUCACGACCGUUUUAGCGUUAGCGCAUCGCUAUAAAUUGGCCAAUGCCUAUAGCGUAAAAUACUGCAGAGUGAAAUAUAACGUAAAGCGAUAAGUCGACUGAAAACUUGCUGCAAUUUGCAACAGAAUUAUUAACUAAAUACAAAAUUCGUACGCAAAAAACGUUUACAACACUAGGAAUAGCGUACUAUACGGUAUUAUUAUGGAUUAUCUUUUUCUUUACUAUUUCUCGCAUUAACAACGUCGUAU
rnacentral:misc_RNA from 1 species